GACUCUGGGGUCAGGAAGACACAUGCAUAGGGCAAAGGGAGCCACUCAGGCAAUGUGAAUGGUCACUCAGGCCAGGGGCCAGGGCAUUGAGGACUCCUCCCUGUCCCUCCCACUGCCAUGUUCAGUCGGUCACCAAAUUCAGUCAAACCUACCUCCUUUCCUUCAUCUCCAGUAACACUGAGCUGAUUCAGGCCCCAUACCUCUUCCCUGACACCUCCUGGACAGCUGCACACACUGCCUCCCACUAGUCUCCCUAGCUUAAGUCUCCCCGCUUCCAGUUUAUCCCCCAAGAUGCUACUGGCAAAUCCACUCACUUAAAAUCGCCCUCUGCUUUCCCAUCACCACUGGAUAAAGCUCCAACCCCAUAGCUUGUCCAACCAUGACCCGGCUCCUAAACACCUCUGUGGCCUCAUCUCCCUGCACUUCACAACCGACAACAUUCAGUGACUCCCAGACAGUUUCCUGAGUCCCUCCUUCCUGUGGUUGAGACUUCUGGGUCUGGGCACACAUUUUUCCCCAAUCCCUAAAGUCCUCUCUUUACUAUUCCUGCUCCACUGGCUGGAUUGCAAGGUGGGCUCCUAUUUCAUAUGGCAAAACUCUGCUCUGGGAAACCAUCCCCUAGUGUGUCUACCAUAUCACUAAUUCCUCCACUUGCCUUACUCUGUCCUUUGCAUCCAAGCAAAAAUUAAUUAAAAUCUGUAUUAUACUGCUCUUCAUAUCAUCACUGUAACUGUUAUAAUCUGCUUCACCCCUUGCAAUUAGGGUUUUAAAAUUAUUACUAAACACUGGCUUGAGCUCCCCUGCACCUCUUCACCCUAGGACCUCGGCUCUUGGAUAACUCCCAGUUCUUCUGUUAGUCAUCCCUGCGCUUUCCACAGGCCUGAGCAGCUAGAACUCAGACAGGAUUUAAAACCAAGGAUCAUACUAUGAAGAACAGGAUGCCCUGGGAGCAGUAAUUGGACUGUUGUUUCAUGCUUAUUUGACAUAUUU
rnacentral:lncRNA from 10 species